rnacentral:rRNA from 1 species
GUGAACGCUGGCGGUAGGCCUAACACAUGCAAGUCGAACGGCAGCACAGUAAGAGCUUGCUCUUACGGGUGGCGAGUGGCGGACGGGUGAGGAAUACAUCGGAAUCUACUUUUUCGUGGGGGAUAACGUAGGGAAACUUACGCUAAUACCGCAUACGACCUACGGGUGAAAGCAGGGGAUCUUCGGACCUUGCGCGAUUGAAUGAGCCGAUGUCGGAUUAGCUAGUUGGCGGGGUAAAGGCCCACCAAGGCGACGAUCCGUAGCUGGUCUGAGAGGAUGAUCAGCCACACUGGAACUGAGACACGGUCCAGACUCCUACAGGAGGCAGCAGUGGGGAAUAUUGGACAAUGGGCGCAAGCCUGAUCCAGCCAUACCGCGUGGGUGAAGAAGGCCUUCGGGUUGUAAAGCCCUUUUGUUGGGAAAGAAAAGCAGCAGGUUAAUACCCCGCUGUUCUGACGGUACCCAAAGAAUAAGCACCGGCUAACUUCGUG